rnacentral:rRNA from 1 species
GAUGAACGCUGGCGGCGUGCCUAAUACAUGCCAGUCGAACGAUGAAGCCCAGCUUGCUGGGUGGAGUAGUUGCGAACGGGUGAGUAACACGCGAGUAACUUGCCUUUAACUCUGGGUUAAGCCAGGGAAACUGGCUCUAAUACCGGCCAGGUGCGUUAACCGCCUGCAUGGUGCUGGAAUGAUUUAGCGGUUUUCGAUGGACUAGAGGCCUAUCAGCUUGUUGGUAAGGUAUUGGUUAACUAAGGCGGCGACGGGUAGACGACCCGAGAAGGGGACCGGCCACAAUGCGCCUGAGGGACGGCGCAGACGCCAACGGGAGGCAGCAGUGGAGAGUAUUGCACAAUAGGGGAAAGCCUGAUACAGCGGCGCCGGGUGAGGAAAGACGGCCUUCUGGGGAAGAACCUCUGUGAAUAUAGAAAAAGCGAAAGUGACGGUACCUGCAGAAGAAGCACCGGCUAACUACGUG